UCUCCCUCUCCCCUCUCCCCUGUCGCCUCUGCCCUGCUCCCUUCUCUGUCCUGGGCUUCUGCCCCCCUCACCGCUCUCUGCAUCCACUCCAGCUUUUCCCCCCUUCACUUUCUCCAAACAGUGAUUUUUUGAAACUAAUAUCAACAAGAUCAGGACAACUGCAAUCACUUUACCCGACUUGUCAGUUUCCUAUUUAGAAAAUUCAGACUAUGGAGUGGAAUUGGCUCCUCAUGGGACCCAUGGCUGUGGAAAAAUCAGUUGACACGAGUUAGAUGUGCGACAUGGACUGCUACUGUGCACGCAGAGACGGAGGAGCUCAGAGGAACAGUGCGUUUAUUCUGCAUAAGCAGAGGUCACAGCAGCCGCCUAUGUGGCCUCUUUUAUAACAGCCCUGAAGAGGCCAGGCAUGCUGGCUCGGGCCUGUAAUCCCAGCACUUUGGGAGGCCGAGGUGGGCAGAUCAUCUGAGGUGAGGAGUUCGAGACAAGCCUGGCCAACAUGGUGAAACCCCAUCCCUACUAAAAAUACAAAAAUUAGCUGGGCGUGGUGGCAGACACCUGUAGUUCCAGCUACUCAGGAGGCUGAGGCAGGAGAAUCACUUGAACCUGGGAGGCAGAGGUUGCAGUGAGCCAAGAUCACGCCACUGCACUCCAGCCUGGGGGACAGAGUGAGACUCUGUCUCAAACAAACAAACAAACAACAACAAAAAAAACCAGCCCUGAAGAAAGAAGACUUGGGGUUUACAGAGCAGAGGACUUUCAACGCAAGGAUGCCCUGUGUCAGUGUGCAGAGGCUCAGAAGCACUGCUCUUUUGAAGAAAAGUGUGCUGGACCUUCUCUUGCGUGGUUAGUUGUAAAACUUGAUGCUUCUGCAGGCAGAUGAUGGCAGAAAGCUCCCACCCCACCACGCUGAUGACGGCAGAAAGCUCCCGCCCCACCACGCUGAUGACGGCAGAAAGCUCCCGCCCCACCACGCUGAUGAUGGCACUCUCGUUGGGUGGUUGUGUGGUCUUCAUACAAUUUCAGGGUAAAUCGCCACUUGAUGUCAUUGCUAAAUGGGAUACCUGAGCUAUGAUGAUUUUGCCUGAUUGUUAAAGUUAGUAUUUUAAGACCAAAGAUGGACAAAAUACGUUAAAAUUGUCUGUAAAAAGGCACAUUUCUGAAUUUGCUUUUAAUACUUUAAAAGAUAUAAAGCUGUUGUAUUAUAACAGGAAGGAUUGCUACAAGAACAGAUCUGUCAGAAAACAAAACCGCAUCUUGAAUUGAAAUGGAAAAUGAAAUUUAGCUACACUUCGUA
ensembl:lncRNA LINC01865 long intergenic non-protein coding RNA 1865